GAUGAGCGCUGGCGGCGUGCCUAAUACAUGCAAGUCGAGCGAAUGGAUUAAGAGCUUGCUCUUAUGAAGUUAGCGGCGGACGGGUGAGUAACACGUGGGUAACCUGCCCAUAAGACUGGGAUAACUCCGGGAAACCGGGGCUAAUACCGGAUAACAUUUUGAACCGCAUGGUUCGAAAUUGAAAGGCGGCUUCGGCUGUCACUUAUGGAUGGACCCGCGUCGCAUUAGCUAGUUGGUGAGGUAACGGCUCACCAAGGCAACGAUGCGUAGCCGACCGGAGGGGGUGGUGGGCAACACUGGGGCUGGGACACGGCCCAGAACACGACGGGGGGCAGCAGUAGGGAAUCUUCCGCAAUGGACGAAAGUCUGACGGAGCAACGCCGCGUGAGUGAUGAAGGCUUUCGGGUCGUAAAACUCUGUUGUUAGGGAAGAACAAGUGCUAGUUGAAUAAGCUGGCACCUUGACGGUACCUAACCAGAAAGCCACGGCUAACUACGUGCCAGCCGCCGCCGUAA
rnacentral:rRNA from 1 species